CUACGGGCUGCUGCAGUCGAGAAUCAUUCGCAAUGCGCGAAAGCGUGACGAUGCGACGCUGCGUGGAGGAUGAAGGCCCUCGGGUCGUAAACUCCUGUCAGGAGGGAAAAGCCGGCACUUGGUCAAUACCCUUGUGCCCCGAUGGUACCUCCAGAGGAAGCCACGGCUAACUCUGUGCCAGCAGCCGCGGUAAUACAGAGGUGGCGAGCGUUGUUCGGAUUUACUGGGCGUAAAGGGUGCGUAGGCGGCGUGCAAAGCUGGAUGUGAAAUCCCGGGGCUCAACCCCGGAACUGCAUCCGGAACUGGCAUGCUAGAGACCAGGAGGGGAGAGCAGAAUUCUAGGUGUAGCGGUGAAAUGCGUAGAUAUGUGGAGGAACACCAAUGGCGAAGGCAGCUCUCUGGCCUGAUACUGACGCUGAGGUGCGAAAGCGUGGGGAGCAAACAGGAUUAGAUACCCGAGUAGUC
rnacentral:rRNA from 1 species